rnacentral:rRNA from 1 species
GACGAACGCUGGCGGCGUGCUUAACACAUGCAAGUCGAACGGAAAGGCCCUGCUUUUGUGGGGUGCUCGAGUGGCGAACGGGUGAGUAACACGUGAGUAACCUGCCCUCGACUUUGGGAUAACUUCAGGAAACUGGGGCUAAUACCGGAUAGGAGCUCCUGCUGCAUGGUGGGGGUUGGAAAGUUUCGGCGGUUGGGGAUGGACUCGCGGCUUAUCAGCUUGUUGGUGGGGUAGUGGCUUACCAAGGCUUUGACGGGUAGCCGGCCUGAGAGGGUGACCGGCCACAUUGGGACUGAGAUACGGCCCAGACUCCUACGGGAGGCAGCAGUGGGGAAUAUUGCACAAUGGGCGGAGGCCUGAUGCAGCAACGCCGCGUGCGGGAUGACGGCCUUCGGGUUGUAAACCGCUUUCGCCUGUGACGAAGCGUGAGUGACGGUAAUGGGUAAAGAAGCACCGGCUAACUACGUG